rnacentral:lncRNA from 1 species
CUCUCGCUCGCAGGAUUAGCGCAGUGGGAGGAGGCAGAGGUGAUCAGGUCCUGCCCGGCCUGGGACUUUUUGUCUUGAGGUGGGGAGGGGAGAAAUGGGAAGAGGUGGAGUAGCGGUUUUAGCCCGCUCUGCGGCUGCGAGGUUUAGAUCCGAGAUUAACCUCUCCCGCGAUAGGUGAAGCCCUACCGGAGCAGAAAGCUGUUCCACCUGCACCAAGAAUGCGCGCUGGAGACGGUUGCCCCGGAGGCCCUGGCCCGAGAGAAAACCAGUCCCCGCUGCCCGCGCCUCCCGGUAGCGCGCUCCCUGCGCCUCUCCCGCCGGACACUCAGCAGACGCCGGAGGCCGGGAGGCUAAGACUGGGCGCGUCGCAGGCCGGGACCGCGGCAGAGGCUGCUGUGCCGACCGAGGAGAGGGCUCUGCCGCCCCCACUUGCCCUGGGUGUCGAGAGCCCACUCCAGACGCGGCUCUUCUGAGGCUCAAUUCAAGCCACCCAGGCCUGAAUCCAGGGUGCUCUCUCUAAGUCGGUGUCCAACCCAGGGGCCUGUAAAUGUUGGAACCUAGGAUGUAGGAUGGGAGCGGUGAAGGGAUGGUCCUCUUGCCCAGCCCAGAUUAAGACUGGGGUUCAUCUGGAGGACUCUACUUACACCCUCCCGGUCCCCUCGCCCUCCCCCACACACAGCUGCCUCUCCCCAGGAUAUGCGCGGCACAGUGAAUUUAGUGGCUUUGAAAGGUAUAGUAUUUGUGGCAUCCUUAUAUGGAUAAUGCCCAAUGAUGCCUGCACCCUGUAACAGUUUAGGAAGGCCUGAAGUCGCACACUGGGUCCUGGCUGCUGUAACUGGAGACCCCCAGAAGAUCCCCUGCAAGCAGCCACCAGCCUGCUGUCAAGCCAAUAAUAAAAGCUCAGCACAAACAGAUGGGACUUGUAGUGUCCACCACACAGGGUUGUAAUGGUGAUGAUGGACAUGCUGAACUGCUGUGAUACAUGAAGAUGAAACAGAAAAACUGUGGGAACUAUGAGCUGAUCUAAAGCCAUAGUCCUAGAUGAAGAAACUCACAUUGAGAAGAGUUAAGAAACUUGCUCAAAUUCAUAAAAUCAAGAGGAGAGGUGGAUGUAAUUAAAACCAAGCCUUUGACAAAUCAAGGAAACUUUUCAUGUCGUCACUGCUACCUCAUCCGUGGCCACAAAAUCUCAGUCAAGAUCUAGGGUUGAUGCAAACUGGAGUCAUUCCCAGUAUCCACAACACUUCUCUUGUGUCUUCUGGGAAGCUAAGAUUUCAUCCCUUGAGUUUCAUUGCUGCCUGAAUCUAUUGCAUCUUACUUGAGAGCCUCAUUUAUUCCAUGCUACAAGAUCCAUGCAAGAUUCCAGGAUCACCAAGAUCACUCCAGGAAAUGAAGAGAUCAAGAGAGCUGCCAUGGACAAGUCUCUGCCUCUCUGCUUCAGCUUCUAGUUCCCUCAUAAUAUAGGACAAUUCCUUGUACAAAACGGGUGCUCCAUAAAUAUUUGUUGAAUGAACUUCUUUUCUAGAUGGUGACGUGAUGGCAACCUUAAAACCUCAUGCCAUUCUUCCUCAUCAUUCUCUGGGUUAAAGAAAGGCCUAAACUUUUCCAGCAAUUGACAGAGCCUUGGUGUGUCAUAUUGCCUCAUUGUGCCUCAGUUGUCCCAUCACUCCCACUUGGGAGAGGAUAUGAAUGAAUGGAUCUUAGUUUUAAAGAGCUGAAGGUGGAAUUCAGUUGCCUGAUUGCUAGCAUAGAUAGUACCUCUAUGUAUGUGCCAUUUCUUUUUUUUUUUUUUUUUGAUUGUUUAGUUCAUUUAUUUGUGUAACCAAUUUUGAUUAAAAGCUGAACACUGUGCUGGAAGCUGAGGCUUCACUGGUGUAGGGAUGCCAUUUCUGCCCCCUAAGAAUCACAAGGGCUAGAGCAUUGCAGGAGGUCCUUACAGCAACAAUUACCAUGAACUAAGCCUUUGCUUAGUGCAGGCACUGUGUUAAGAGGGAAGUUAGUAAUGUUCUUCCCAUUUUAGAAUUUUGUAACUAUAAAAAUAUAAUGCAGGCUUAAGAAAGAGCAGUUUAAAAUGACAUAAAUAAACCUUUGUUUUAGGGAAAGUUUGCAUAUGUUUGUGCUUCUGUGUUAUACUAAGAAUCCUGAGCAAUUCCCACUUCAGUAUAAAAUUCUAGUGGUGUGAGGGCAAAAGGUGAAAAAGAGUUUUAAAAAGGUAAAAAUUUAUACAUGCUAGAAAAAAAAUGAGAAUUGUUUUCAUUUUCAUGAUUCUUCAGAAAAUUUAUUUAUUAGAAAUAUUUUAACUACUUAAAUAAAAGAUUUUUUAAAGUAUUUUUUUCAUAAUCCCAACCACCCUGUUUUAGUUUUCUCAUUUUGCCUCUAGUCUUUGUCCAUAUGGUGCAUUUUACAUAGUUGUAACCCUGGUGGAUGUAUAGUUUUAUCUUCUGCUCAACAAGGAGGAGAAUUUGUUCAGCAUUUGAGUGUUUAACCUUUGCAUUUUGUGGAUGGGGUCCCUGGGUGAGGUCUGCCUAGCCAUCUUUCUGGCAGAAAGCAUGUACAACUGUUGAAUUAUGUUAUUGAAAUCACUUUCAUUACCUCAAUCCCCCAAAGCAAACAGUUGCUCUCCACCCAAAACAAAAGCUCUGGUUCCCAGACUUCAUUUCACUUGUGUUUUCCGUGAGUUCUGUGACCCACCCUGGUAUUCCCUGUCAUUUUUUCUACCAGACAUAACAGAUACCAGCCCAACGGCAGAGGCGAAUAAAGCGGAGGCCUGGACAGCAGGAAAGGACAUAACAUCGUAUCCAUCA